CCUACGGGAGGCAGCAGUGGGGAAUAUUGGACAAUGGGCGAAAGCCUGAUCCAGCCAUGCCGCGUGUGUGAAGAAGGUCUUCGGAUUGUAAAGCACUUUAAGUUGGGAGGAAGGGCAGUAACUUAAUACGUUGCUGUUUUGACGUUACCGACAGAAUAAGCACCG
rnacentral:rRNA from 1 species